GCAGGUACGGCGACAUGGUCCCGAAGACGAUCAUGGGGAAGAUCUUCGGCUCGGUGUGUUCUCUCAGCGGCGUGCUCGUCAUCGCUCUGCCGGUUCCCGUCAUCGUCUCCAAC
rfam:Larimichthys crocea isolate SSNF unplaced genomic scaffold scaffold225, whole genome shotgun sequence.